AUAUACAGUUGUGGAAAAAAUUGUUAGACCAUUAAAAGUUGUCAAAAACAAUGGUUAUGCAAUCAAGUCCUAACUCC